rnacentral:rRNA from 1 species
GACAGAGGUGCCGAGCGUUAGGCGGAAUCACUGGGCUUAAAGCGUGUGUAGGCGGACUUCUAAGUACCUUGUGAAAUCCCACGGCUCAACCGUGGAACUGCUUGGUAUACUGGUCGUCUUGAGCCACCUAGGGGCAACCGGAACAAACGGUGGAGCGGUGAAAUGCGUAGAUAUCGGAAGGAACAUCAGUGGCGAAAGCGACUUCCUGGACCAGUACCGACGUUCAGGCACGAAAGCGUGGGGAGCAAACAGG